UACGGAAGGCAGCAGUGGGGAAUAUUGCACAAUGGGCGCAAGCCUGAUGCAGCCAUGCCGCGUGUAUGAAGAAGGCCUUCGGGUUGUAAAGUACUUUCAGUCGUGAGGAAGGUGUUAAGGUUAAUAACCUUAGCAAUUGACGUUAGCGACAGAAGAAGCACCGGCUAACUCCGUGCCAGCAGCCGCGGUAAUCGGAGGGUGCGAGCGUUAAUCGGAAUUACUGGGCGUAAAGGGCACGCAGGCGGUUAAUUAAGUUGGAUGUGAAAUCCCCGGGCUUAACCUGGGAAUGGCAUUCAAGACUGGUUAGCUAGAGUCUUGUAGAGGGGGUAGAAUUCCAUGUGUAGCGGUGAAAUGCGUAGAGAUGUGGAGGAAUACCGGUGGCGAAGGCGGCCCUCUGGACAAAGACUGACGCUCAUGUGCGAAAGCGUGGGGAGCAAACAGGGAUUAGAUACC
rnacentral:rRNA from 1 species